AGAGUGAACGCUGGCGGCAGGCCUAAUACAUGCAAGUCGAACGGCAGCACGGCAGAGCUUGCUCUGUGGGUGGCGAGUGGCGGACGGGUGAGGAAUACAUGGGAAUCUGCCCAGUCGUGGGGGAUAACGUAGGGAAACUUACGCUAAUACCGCAUGCGCCCGUUCGGGGGAAAGCCGGGGACCUUCGGGCCUGGCGCGAUUGGAUGAGCCCAUGUCGGAUUAGCUAGGUUGGCGGGUAACGGCCCACAAGGCGACGAUCCGUAGCUGGUCUGAGAGGAUGAUCAGCCACACUGGAACUGAGACACGGUCCAGACUCCGUACGGGAGCAGCAGUAGGGAAUAGUUGGACAAGUGGGCGCAAGCCUGACUCAGCCAUCGCCGUGUACGGAGUA
rnacentral:rRNA from 1 species